CUGGCUUCACAAAAUGGCGCCCGGCAGCUCCGCGCCGAGCGGUCUGAGGCGACAAAAUGGCGGCGGGCGGACAGCGCGGGUUGGGCCCGGGCCGCCUUCAGGGCCCCUCGUUCUUCUCCCGUCCCCCUCACCGUCCUGUUUUGAGGUGUUUUUCCCCUCAUAGCGUGAAGAUUUUGGGGUCAGUGCUGCUCUUUCCGCCCCCUCCACACGCGCGAUCGCAGGUGGGUAUUUUCAUAGCUUGAUGCCUCAUUUCUCCCCCUCCGCCUUUCUCCUCCGCAGGGGUUGUAGCCAUCGCUGUCCUCAUCGCGUGGAAAAUGCCCAAUUAAAAAACAAACAAACAAACAACAAAACAAAACAAAAAAAAACCAAAAAACCCAGCCCCGAACAGCCGAGAACUGAAGGAAGGAACUGCCUCCUCACGGCCGCCAUUCUGAGAUUUAGGGCCGUGCAGGUGCUCUUUAUUAGCACAUGUCCACAUAUAUAUCCUUAUCCCAGAGAUGGACACAAAGCCACACACCUACAAUGCUACGAUCCAAUUACACGCAAUUACUCUCACUUUGGCCCGUACGUAUCUUGGAUUUUAUAUAUUUAUUACCUUUGUUUUCUUCCAUUGGCUUUUUACUGUCCUAAGAGGGAAAAAAAAGAAAAAAAAAAAGAAAAAUUACACGCAUACACCCAAAAGAAAAAUAAAAUAUAAUAAUAGAUUUUUAAAAAAAAGGAAAAAAUAAGCAAAAAACAACCCAUUUGAUCAGUCCGUGGUGGAGGUUGGUGCCUGAAUGCUUUAUUUGUUCCACAGAGGUGUAGAUUUCCCUUGGGAUGUUGGGGAAGGCUUUCUUAAUUAAAGGAUAAAAAUAAAAAAUAAUAGUAAUAAUUAAAAAAAACAACAGUGAAACAGUACAAAAAAAAAGGAAAAUAAUAUUAUUUUUUAAAAUAUAUAUUAAAAAAUAAAAGAAGCAGCUGAAGCUGCCAAUGCAAUCGGGCAGGCACUGAAUUCAUUGCACCGAAAUGAGGACGGCUGAGCUGAACUGAGUGGCAGGGCUUAGUGCAGCUCCGGGAGGAGGGCUCAGCUCCUCGGUCCCACUCUCCAGCGCUGCACACACACCAUUUAUCUGCUUUUGUGCUUCAUUUCCAGCCCCCAUGGCUGCCCUACGUGAUGCACGGAGCGGCGUUGCGUGCCCCGGUGCUGUGCAUUCCUCUCCCUUUUAUUGCCUGCUCUAUGGCUCGCUCGCUUUUUUCUCUCCCCCCUCUGCGGGCAGCAGGGUUGCUUUGCUUUGCUUUCCUCUCCUCUCGGCUUGCUGAUUCCAGAAGUUUCUACAGCAGAGGAAAUGCACGGGGGAGGGGAGCACCCACUGCGGAGCUUUGCCGCAGCCGGGCAGGCGUGGAGGAGGAGGAGGAUGCGGAGGAUGCACCACCUCCCUCUCCCUCUUUCCCCCCUCCCUCCUUGGUUCAGGACGCUUUCCAAGCCUCUCCCCCUCGCUACAUUUCCCCAUCCUUGCAGAGGGUGCUGGGAGGUGUUUGCAAGAUGAGUUUUUUGUUGUUUUUUUUUUUCCUUUCACCCCCCCAACACACACACGCUCAGUUUCCUCCCCCUUUGCUAAAUAAAUUAAAAGCAGAGAUGUCUCCUGAUGGAGAUGGAUGAGGCUGGACUCACUUGCAUGCACUGUGCCGCAGCUCCGAUCUGCUGCUUAGGGCAGAAGUGACCUUUCCCAGGCAGUGGGAGGGAGCUUCCCCCCACCCCUCUAUGCUGCUGUUUGGAAUUCAUCUUACAUAGCAGCCUUAUUUUUUCUUAUCCCCCCUCCAAAGAUCAGCGUGCUGCUUCAGUGACUGCUUUAUUACGGCUUUAUUUUAUUAUUAUUAUUUUCAGCUUCCUUGUGAUCGUUUUGUGUGCGUGUCUGUGUGUGUGCUUUGAACUGCAUCUUAAAAUUGCCCAGCUGGAGACAAGUCUUGAUUAGAACUGGAACAAUAGCUCCAUUUUAUUAAUAAUGGGAAGGAUUUACGAUCCUACAGCACCUUCCUUGGAAGGCUUUCAAACCCAUUUGCAAACUCUCACAAAUGUAAGCUCUCACAGCCCUGCCUGUGAGGUGGGUAAGUAUAUCCACGGUGCCACCAAAAAUCAGGGAGAGCUGGAGUCGGUGUGUGCUAAAAUAAUGGCAGAUCUGGUGGGUUUCAGGGCUGCAAAGCUGGGAGGAGGGAGGCUGGUAAAAGCUGGAACCUAAAUCUAUUUGCUGUUUGUAGAUGCAGAUAUCUGUCUUUGUCCUGGGAACCAGGCUGCUGUUUCUCAGCCUGCUCCGUGCUCCUCCUUUGCUUUUUGCAGUGCGAGGGUUCGGACUUGCCUGCUUGUCAGUAAACAUCUGCUUAUAGAUUUUAUUUUUUAAUUCAUUGCUUUUUUGUAGUCCCCAGGUGACCUCCUUUAGUGCUGGCUCCGCUGCGGUCUGACCACAGCUUUGCAUUAAAGCAGGCUGUGAGCACUAAUGUGUCUCCAUGCAAGUCCACGUGACCUUGCUCAGGGGACAGGGCCCACUGAGCUAAUGCAGAUGCUCCACUUCAAUUACACAACCCUGCAUCCCCUCCCUGACCCAAGUAGUGCGGGGGAAUGUUGCAAUGCUAUGGGUGAAAGCUGUCUUCUGCCCUAAUUUUUCUCUCUUUUUUCUUUUCCUCCCAGGGAAAUGCAGGAUUGUUUGUGUAACUCCCACUCUACAGCAGAUAGUUUCACUGUCACCGUGACUUCAACAUGCACAGUCCAACCAGUCACUUGUGAGCAAGGAGAGCAGGUAUUGACACCUCCUCAUUAGCCUUUGUCAAUGAGAAUAUUGGCUUUGGUGUUGUGUGAGUGCCUUUAGCUGACCAGUGGAGGGGCCCUACCCUGCUAAGCUGGAGCAACUCUUUCUGAGCAGUGAUUUCAUUGCCUGGUUGCUGCAGUGAUCUGGAGCACAGCUGUGACUUUAUGCUCUUCUGGCAGAAAUUUAGCUGAGGGUAAGUGUGAGAUGUCCAGGCCAGAUUUCAUAGCGUGAUGGAGAGCUGGGAGAAGCUUUUGUAUGGUGUAUAUGAAAACUGCCGAUUGCUUGUGUUCCUAAAAAGGCUCAUCUGUGUUUGAAUUAAACAAGCCUGGAUAGGACAUUCAUUUUGUUCUCCUGUUAGGGAUGUAUUUGGAGAUAUGCCUGGUGCUGAUCGGAGGCCUCUGCUGGCCUGCAGGUGCAGGGGAACAACACAAACAGUUUGGGAUGCUUUCAGGUUUUUCAGGCCACUGCACCCUGUGGGAACUGUACGACUUUUCUUUGGCAGUUUGGGAUAACUGAGGGUUUCCUUGGACUUCUACCACCGCAUGUUUGGGAUUGAAGAGUUACCAGAACAACAUCUGUGAGGUUUCCAAGCUAAACAAAGCCUGAAUUUCUGGUGCAAAAAGCAAGUGAGCAAUAUAAGCCUCUACUCUUCUUCCAUAUGGGUGAAACUGCAGCCUUUUAAGCUUUCCUGUUAUGCCAAAGAGGUAAAAGAGCAUGAGCAUGCACUGUGAGUUCUGCAGUGUUAUCGGCGAUGUAAAAUGAAAGCCAAAGCUAGCCAAGAAGCUGCUCUCCUUUCAAACACAAUAGGUCUCAAUGCACAAGUACUUUUCUUUUUUGCCUUUCCCUGAAGUGAAAGAGCAAUAAUGGCACAAGUGUGCACUCAGUCUGCUUCAUUUAGAACACAGUGAUGUGACUUCAGUGCCAACACAGUGAAUCAAAGGCAUUGAAGAUAGCUGGCUUGCUAUUUAUUUUGCUCUGGGCAUGACAAUCAGAUGUGAUUGGGAAUGUGAAGAAGAGCAUCCUUCAACUCAUGGGGUUGCACUGUUUUAAACCCUUGUCCUGCAUCAUCUCCAGUGGGAUUUCUGUCAUUCCUGCUGGGCGUUACCUGUGAGGCUUUUCAUGGGGAGCUAAAGCACUGCAACUGUGUGUUAAACAUGGCAACAUACAGGAUACAGUGAUCUCUCCAGUCCUCGGAGGUUCCUCUCCUUUGCACUAUACAACCCAGGUGGGCUGGGUGGCUGUUAUUUAUUUUUUUCCUCCUUUAAUCUUAUUCCCCUGCAAUGUUUUGCAGCCUGGAAGACUGAAGGCUCUGCCUAAAGGAUGAAACGCUUCAUGUUUGGACAAAACCUGGCAGUAGCUCUCAGCAGCGUGGAUGAAAACACCGUGGAGUCAGAGAAUCCUGGUGCAGUUGAUUCAAUGACUCAAAGGGAUGUUCUGGAUGGAGUUAACACAUCGUGAAGACUUGGAGCACUAAAGAG